UGAGGAAUAUUGGUCAAUGGGCGAAAGCCUGAACCAGCCAAGUAGCGUGCAGGAUGACGGCCCUCUGGGUUGUAAACUGCUUUUAGUCGGGAAUAAAAUGCGGCACGUGUGCCGCUUUGCAUGUACCGUCAGAAAAAGGACCGGCUAAUUCCGUGCCAGCAGCCGCGGUAAUACGGAAGGUCCAGGCGUUAUCCGGAUUUAUUGGGUUUAAAGGGUGCGUAGGCUGUAAGUCAAGUCAGCGGUGAAAAAGUCGGGGCUAAACCUUGAGGGUGCCGUUGAAACUGAUUUACUAGAAUGUGGAUGAUGCCGGCGGAAUGUGUCAAGUAGCGGUGAAAUGCAUAGAUAUGACACAGAAGGCCGAUUGCGAAGGCAGCUGGCAAAGGCACGAUUGACGCUGAGGCACGAAAGUGCGGGGAUCGAACAGGAUUAGAUACCCUGGUAGU
rnacentral:rRNA from 1 species